CACUCUCUUGGGCAGGCUGAUCUGGAACUCCUGACAUCAAGUGAUCCACCUGCCUCAGCCUCCCAAAGGGCUGGGAUUACAGGCAGGAGCCACUGUGCCUGGCCUGGUGACUGACAACCUAGCCACAGCCACCCCUUCGCCCUACAGAACUGGAAUUUGAACCCAGAGUACUUCUUCACCCCACCACCACCUCCAUUGUUUCUGGAAGUGCCCUCCAGGCAGGCCAGACAUUCCUCCCUUGGGGUUGGAACAUCUUCGGGAUGCCCCUUUGGGAAAUGCUGCUCCACAGAACCCUGCCUUUCAGGCUUUAGAGAUGUGGGCCAAGAGAAGCAGCCUCCCCCAGAGCCAGGCCUGGCAGUGGUGCCAGCAGGGACCGAGGCCCAGGGAGAGCAGGGUCUCCCCUUAGAGGGACCUGGGCAAGCCCCUCCCCAUGUCUGCAGGUUUCUCUGUGUGGGAGGUCCACACGGCGCUGCCAGGGAACAUGGGCACAGAAAUGCAACAGGAGCCGAGGCCCAAACAUUUUAACCAAAUGCCAAGGCUGCGUGAGGCCCCAGUUGAAGAGAGCUCGGAGGGUGCAUCCUUUGGCAGCUCUGGAAAGCCCAGCGUCAGCUCCCGUCCUCUGUUAAAGGGAACCAGCCCCACAGCUCCACCUGGGCUGGGCCCACACACGGCACCCUGAACACGACCCCAGGGUAGUGGGGGGUGCCGGAGGAACGGGGUGCACCCUGGCAGGAGCCAAGGGUGGGGUUAGGGUCAGGCCCCGCCAGAGGCUGGAGGGCACCCAAGGCAAGGCAGGUGAGGCCCAGCUCUACAAAUCAAGUGCUUUUUAUUUACAGAAGUCAUCUCUCCAGGUCCCAGCUCCCUGCCACCCCCACCCCA